GACGUAGGGGGCCAGCGUUGUUCGGAAUUACUGGGUGUAAAGGGUUCGUAGGCGGUGCGGCAAGUUGGGAGUGAAAUCUCUGGGCUUAACCCAGAGGCUGCUUCCAAAACUGCUGUGCUUGAGUGUGGGAGAGGCGCGUGGAAUUGCAGGUGUAGCGGUGAAAUGCGUAGAUAUCUGUAGGAACACCCGUGGCGAAGGCGGCUCGCUGGACUGCAACUGACGCUGAGGAACGAAAGCUAGGGGAGCAAACAGG
rnacentral:rRNA from 1 species